UCAUCAUAUCAGCAACUUCAACUGUCCACUGCUAAAAACAAGCUUCCCCCCCCCUCCCUUUGCUAGUCAUUGCCAUGUGGCAGGCGGAUUGGCAAUCGCAGUUAGGUUUUGAAUAUGUUUAAAGAGGGACGCUCGUCUCUGACGCUCUUAGUCGUCUUUUACGACAUAAACAUAUACAGUGUAGAUAUUUAUUUAUAUAAAUAACGACAAGAUAACAGUAAUGAAGCCGCUUAUAUUCUUUAUUCAAUAGAAAUAUUUUAUCGCAUAUAUAAUAAACUAUCUUUUUGACUAUUUGUUUUUUAAAUUAGUAACAUACUUUACAAAAAAAUAAAUAUCAUCUAAACAAACUACUUAGAAUUUUAAAUACGUUCUCUAAUUCUUCAAGCCGAAUACGGGGUGUGAUAUAAGAAAACCUUACAGUAUUUCAGACGUCACUUCAAGAAGUUCGAUAGUUUGGAGUUGCAUGCAGCAAAUGCAACGCAAUGCUCCAUUAUGUGGCCCAUAAAUCAAGUGCAUUGAAAUCUCCUUCCUCUUUCGUGUCGGUGAGCCAUCGCACGGAGCGACGGAUAUUUGAACCAAUGCACCACCGAGCCCUAUCUCGAUACAACUACAUAGGUACAUCUACAGUUAUAAACUAUCCCGCAGAUUACUCCACGUAAACCAAUAGAGAAGGUAUCCUAUGUACUAAUUUAAAAUGUAACGUAUCCGUAUAGCAAAUUUUAUUUAAAUCCAUUCAGUACUUCCUGCGUCAAAGAAAAGCAAAUAUCCAUCCAUCCAACAUUACAAACUUUUCUUUCAAAUUAAAAGGAUUUUACAAUUCUUAUAGUUCGAAACGAUAUUAAUUACGAGGAAAUCUACUAAAUUUGUUAUAUUAUACGAAGCCAAUAAGUCUUUAUGAUAAGGUAAUCGAAUUACGUCAAGAUAGAAACAAGUAGAGUUCUGAUAUCUCUGCGCCUACAAAAGUAGAAGAAAAGGCAUGAGAGUGGUGAUUAUAAUAAUAAUAUUUGAACAUUUUUACAUAACUAUCUAAGAAAUGACUAUGGAAAUGUAAAUCAAAUGCAAGGGUGCAGUGCAUAGCUGUAGAUUGAUUGAAGCAAUGUCAUAUUCAUGUUCGCACAAUGGCCGCCCGACGACCGGCGGCAUUCGGAGGUAACAUCCAUUCACUCAAUGUUACUCAAUGGCUUUUGCAUGUUACAUUCUGCACUUAGACUACAUUCGAAGUUGUCUACAUAUAUUUCUGUCUGUGUGACAUCGUAAUAUCUGAGAAUACAAGAGUAUGUGAAAUGUGUUUGUAUAAUAUGCUUUUAAAGAAUAAACUAUUUUAAAAAGUGUGCCAGUCAGUAAGUAAAUUUUACAACACUGUUGUAAACCGCACCAAUUCAGUUAUAAAUAAUAAUUAAUAUUCAGUGUCAUCAUGUUAAUACUACUACUGCUAUUACUACAUACUAUACAAAACUAGUUCUAGAUUUUGUUUACUAUUUUUUUAUGUAAACAAAUCUAUGAAUUUACUUACUGAAAUAAAAUUAUUUAACAAUAAUUCUACAUUCUUGUCAAAUAUAAUUAAUUAUGAUAAUUAUGCAUAAUUUAUUUAUUGACUUGCAAAAAUAGACAGUUCUCAAUUUUCCUCUACCUU